AGUGAACGCUGGCGGUAGGCCUAACACAUGCAAGUCGAACGGCAGCACAGUAAGAGCUUGCUCUUACGGGUGGCGAGUGGCGGACGGGUGAGGAAUACAUCGGAAUCUACUUUUUCGUGGGGGAUAACGUAGGGAAACUUACGCUAAUACCGCAUACGACCUACGGGUGAAAGCAGGGGAUCUUCGGACCUUGCGCGAUUGAAUGAGCCGAUGUCGGAUUAGCUAGUUGGCGGGGUAAAGGCCCACCAAGGCGACGAUCCGUAGCUGGUCUGAGAGGAUGAUCAGCCACACUGGAACGGAGACACGGUCCAGACUCCUACGGGAGGCAGCAGUGGGGAAUAUUGGACAAUGGGCGCAAGCCUGAUCCAGCCAGACCGCGUGGGUGAAGAAGGCGUUCGGGUUGUAAAGCCCUUUUGUUGGGAAAGAAAAGCAGCAGGUUAAUACCCCGCUGUUCUGACGGUACCCAAAGAAUAAGCACCGGCUAACUUCGUG
rnacentral:rRNA from 1 species